UACGUAGGGUGCAAGCGUUAAUCGGAAUUACUGGGCGUAAAGCGUGCGCAGGCGGUUCUAUAAGACAGAUGCGAAAUCCCCGGGCUCAACCUGGGAACUGCAUUUGUGACUGUAGAGCUGGAGUACGGCAGAGGGGGAUGGAAUUCCGCGUGUAGCAGUGAAAUGCGUAGAUAUGCGGAGGAACACCGAUGGCGAAGGCAAUCCCCUGGGCCUGUACUGACGCUCAUGCACGAAAAGCGUGGGGGAGCAAACAGG
rnacentral:rRNA from 1 species